rfam:Ictidomys tridecemlineatus contig002605, whole genome shotgun sequence.
GGUGGUGUAACUCAGUAGUAGGGUGCUUGCCUAGCAUACUUAAAGGUCAUGAGUUCAAUCCCCAACACCACCA